rnacentral:rRNA from 1 species
AUACGGAGGAUGCGAGCGUUAUCCGGAUUUAUUGGGUUUAAAGGGAGCGUAGGUGGGAUAUUAAGUCAGCUGUGAAAGUUUGGGGCUCAACCUUAAAAUUGCAGUUGAUACUGGUUUCCUUGAGUACGGUAUAGGUGGGCGGAAUUCGUGGUGUAGCGGCGAAAUGCUUAGAUAUCACGAAGAACUCCGAUCGCGAAGGCAGCUCACCGGGCCGGAACUGACACUGAUGCUCGAAAGUGCGGGUAUCAAACAGGAUUAGAUACCCUGGUAGUCCGCACAGUAAACGAUGAAUACUCGCUGUUUGCGAUACACUGUAAGCGGCCAAGCGAAAGCGUUAAGUAUUCCACCUGGGGAGUACGCCGGCAACGGUGAAACUCAAAUGAAUUGACGGGG